rnacentral:rRNA from 1 species
GGUAUGAUCCUGCCAGUAGUCAUAUGCUUGUCUCAAAGAUUAAGCCAUGCAUGUCUAAGAAUAAGGGCAUUCAGCCCGAAUCUGCGAAUGGCUCAUUAAACAAGUUAUAAUUCAUUUGAUAGAGGUCUUUUGCACAUGGAUAACUGUGCUAACUGUAGAGCUAAUACAUGCAGACAAUUCCAACUCGGAAUGCAUUUAUUAGGUACAAACCAACCCGGCAACGGUGCGGAGGAGUCAUAAUAACUGAGCGAAUCGCAUGCCGCAAGGUGGCGAUGCAUCAUUCAAAUUUCUUCCCUAUCAGCUUUCGAUGGUAGUGUAGUGGACUACCAUGGCGGUAACGGGUAACGGAGAAUUAGGGUUCGAUUCCGGAGAGGGAGCCUUAGAAACGGCUACCACAUCCAAGGAAGGCAGCAGGCGCGUAAAUUACUCCAUUUCGACACGAAGAAGUAGUGACAAGAAAUAACGCCGCGGGGCCCUACGGGCUUCGCGAGUGGAAUGAGAACAAUUUAAAUCCCUUAUCGAAAGCAAUUGGAGGGCAAGUCUG